AGGACGAACGCUGGCGGCGUGCUUAACACAUGCAAGUCGAACGGAAAGGCCCUUUCGGGGGUACUCGAGUGGCGAACGGGUGAGUAACACGUGGGUGAUCUGCCCUGCACUUCGGGAUAAGCUUGGGAAACUGGGUCUAAUACCGGAUAUGACCAUGGGAUGCAUGUCUUGUGGUGGAAAGCUUUUGCGGUGUGGGAUGGGCCCGCGGCCUAUCAGCUUGUUGGUGGGGUGAUGGCCUACCAAGGCGACGACGGGUAGCCGGCCUGAGAGGGUGUCCGGCCACACUGGGACUGAGAUACGGCCCAGACUCCUACGGGAGGCAGCAGUGGGGAAUAUUGCACAAUGGGCGCAAGCCUGAUGCAGCGACGCCGCGUGGGGGAUGACGGCCUUCGGUUGUAACCUCUUCAGUAGGGACGAAGCGCAAGUGACGGUACCUACAGAAGAAGCACCGGCCAACUACGUGCCAGCAGCCGCGGUAA
rnacentral:rRNA from 1 species